rnacentral:rRNA from 1 species
GAGCGAACGCUGGCGGCAGGCUUAACACAUGCAAGUCGAGCGGGCGUAGCAAUACGUCAGCGGCAGACGGGUGAGUAACGCGUGGGAACGUACCUUUUGGUUCGGAACAACACAGGGAAACUUGUGCUAAUACCGGAUAAGCCCUUACGGGGAAAGAUUUAUCGCCGAAAGAUCGGCCCGCGUCUGAUUAGCUAGUUGGUGAGGUAACGGCUCACCAAGGCGACGAUCAGUAGCUGGUCUGAGAGGAUGAUCAGCCACAUUGGGACUGAGACACGGCCCAAACUCCUACGGGAGGCAGCAGUGGGGAAUAUUGGACAAUGGGCGCAAGCCUGAUCCAGCCAUGCCGNNUGAGUGAUGAAGGCCCUAGGGUUGUAAAGCUCUUUUGUGCGGAAGAUAAUGACGGUA